AACAUUUAUACCCCUUGAACUUGCACCACCAUCUUUUUUAGUUUAGACUUCAUAGUCUACCUAGUAGCUCAAGUCCUAAGCCGGGGAACCAUCCUUUACUCCUGUCUCUGUCAAUAAGCACCAAGACUUGUCAUUCUACUUCUUAAGUAUCUCCUGAUUUUAUUUGCUUUCUAUAGCAAUAAGGAACUGCAUUAUUCUGCAAUUACAUCGGCUUGAAAGAAGACCCCAAGAUCCAGAUGAGAACUCAGCUCGCCAGACAACUUGAUAUUAUUAGCUUUAUGAGACCCUGAGUCGCUGUGGUAGACAUCUGGCUACAGAAGUGACCCCUGAGGAAGAUUGUUAACUGUUCCCAUUGGAGGCAAAUCUCUUCGCUUGUCCAGAGUCACAGCUGACGAGUGACUGGCUGUCUGGGCACUUGAGGAGCUGUGCUGGAGCAGAGGGCCACGCCAGCUUGAGUCACGUGGCAAAUGCCAGGGCCACUCCUGGAGCCCACCCUGUCCCACAGACAAGGACUCAGCCAUGACUCACU